CAAUAGCUUAUAUUUAAAUUGGUGCGGUUAAAAAAACUCGUAAUUGGAUUUCUAUUGAGGAUGACCGGUCCGCCCUCUGGGUGUGCAUCUGGUUCAGCCUUGACAUCUUCCUGAAGAACGUAUCUGCACUUGACUGUGUGGUGCGGAAUUUGGGACAUUUACCUUGAGGAAAUUAGAGUGUUUCAGGCAAGAGCGCGCUUUGAAUACAUUAGCAUGGAGUAAAAAGACAGAACCUCAGUUCUAUUUUGUUGGGGGCAUUCGUAUUUAACUGUCAGAGGUGAAAUUCUUAGAUUUGUUAAAGACGGACUGCUGCGAAAGCAUUUGCCAAGGAUGUUUUCAUUG
rnacentral:rRNA from 1 species